UACAGAGGGUGCGAGCGUUAUUCGGAAUUACUGGGCGUAAAGCGUGCGUAGACGGCUAUCUAAGUCGGAUGUGAAAGCCCCGGGCUCAACCUGGGAAUUGCAUUCGAGACUGAAUAGCUAGAGUGCGGUAGAGGGAAGCGGAAUUUCCGGUGUAGCGGUGAAAUGCGUAGAUAUCUGGAGGAAUACCGGUGGCGAAGGCGGCAUCCUGGACCGGCAUUGACGCUGAUGAGCGAAAGCUAGGGGAGCAAACGGG
rnacentral:rRNA from 1 species